rnacentral:lncRNA from 1 species
AACCUCCAAUGGAAAAAAAAUUGUAAUUCAAAAGAAUAUCAAGGUGACAAUCAUAUGUAGUUUCAAGUCCGUAUUUAUAAUGAGCAAUGAUCUAGUGGGCACUGCCAUAUGGUGUUGUCUAAUAGCUAGAUUUUCCAUUUAUAUUUGUGUAUUGGUGUAGCUAACUAUGUCAUUGUGCCUAAAUUAAAACAUUUGUAAUGAUUAAUAAAGUCACUAUGGUAUGGUAGAGAAGACAAGACUCACUUGGGGGACAACUUUGACUCCAGCACUAUGAGCUUCAAGAACGAGCUCCUCUGAAUAUUCACCCCAGGAAACUUGCAAAACUGCUACUUUUUCACUAAGUAUAGUCUUUAUAUUUUCGUUGUGGGGAAAUGCUAGAACCACACCAACCCCAAAUGGUCGCUCUGUUAAUGAUCUUGUCUUCCUUAUCAGAUCCCUCAAGUAAUCUGGUGCUUCCUGCCAUACCAUACCAAAAUAUUAAAAAAAAAAAUCAACAAAGAAUAAGCUAAUUACGAAGAAUGAUUGAAAUAAUUAAAUAAUUAAGCACCCAAUCGGGGGCUCUAAGAAGACCAAGACCACCGGCAUUAGCAACAGCAGCUACAAGCUCCGGGCCUGAAAUAUCAGGUCCCAAUGGUGCCUGAACAAUCCCAUACUCGAAACCCAGCAUUCCUCUCCAACCCAUUAGAGUAAACUUCAAAGUAUACAAAUGAACUGUGCUUUUUAUUUUUUGUUUUGUUCUCCUCUUAUAAGCAAUUGUUCAGAUUGAAAAAUAAAUAAUAAAUUAAUUGAAGUCGUAAUGAUAACUCAAUUCAAUCUUCUCAACUAGGUUUUUUCUAUUUCUUUACGUCAGCAAGGACGUCCAAGAGUUUCCUAUCGUACAGAUUGCUUAUGUAGGGUCGGCAGAAAUCGCCGAGUUCUAUUUACUUGGGAAUUUUUAGUGCCGAAAAUUAUCAGUUAUAUAUUCUUAAAUGAUAUUUGUAUUAAAUAUAUUAUAAUAUUUUUUAUGUAUAUUACUCGUAUACCCUAAGUUAAUAAAAUACUUCUGCCGUCCACUAAUUCGUUAACUUCAAAGUUAACACAAUUGUGAUAAAUUGACUAUUUCGCCCUUGAAACUCAAAAUGAAGUAAAGAGAUAAAUUUACCCAAAAAAUUAACGUAAAUUUUCAAUACAUAUAUUUUUUUAUUAACAAUAUAUAUUUUUGAUUAAAAAAAUAUAAAUUAUUAAUGGUACAUAUUAUUAACAAUUAUCCAUAAAAAAUAUCUAUAUUAUACCAUAAAAAAAUUAUUAACAGCAUAUUAUUUACAAUUAUACAUAUUAUACCAUAUAAAAUUUCAGUUAGAGUUUGGAGGAGUAGAUCUUCAAAAAUUUAGGUUAAAUUUUGGAGGAGUAGAUUCGGUUAUAAAGUAGUUUUUUUUUAUAGUAAUUAUUAGCAAUUAUCCGAUAAAUGGGAGGACAUGUCAUGCUUAUCAAUAUAUAUCAUAUGACAUGUCAUCAAUGGGAUGACAUGUCAUUUUUUUAAUCAAAGUUUCUUCUAUCUUAAAAGAUUAGAUUACCCUUAUAAUGUCAGCGGUUGCAAACGAUAGUUAACGGAUUGGUGAACGGUAGAAGUGUUUUGUUAACUUAGGGUAAACAAAUGAUAGACGUGAAAAAUAUUGUAGCACGUUUGAUACGUGUGUCAUUUAAGAGUAUAUAACUGAUAAUUUCCCUUUUAGUGCCUAUUCUAAUUGGUCGAUGUGUUACAAAUAAAAAUUAUUAAUUUUAAUAAAAAUAAUAAAAUUUAAUAAUUAUAUAUUAUUUAAUGUAAUCAGUUAGUGAUAUUGUUUAUCACAUUAGUUGGAAUAUAAAUUAAGUUUUUCAAUUAAAUAAAUCUAGCAUUAUUAUUUUAUCGUUCAAGAUGAGAUUUGACCGUAUCUCAAAAGAUUAUUAAGAUUAUGUUCAGUCGAUUUAUUUUAAAUGUUUUAAUUAAUUAAAUUAAAUAAAACGAGAUUCCUUAUAGAAUUAAGCCUUAGUUAUUGUAUAGAGGGUGAUCACCUGGGUGACGUGCUCCUCUUGUGGUGGGCGACAUCGCCCGUGUGAUCACUUCUGAUUGUAUAAAUUACUUAUUUACACUGUAGCGUUACUAGAAAUCCACGAGUCUUAUUCGGAAUUUGAGAUUCUAUUUUAUUUGAACAUAAUUUGGGCUAAUUUUUAGAAUUUAAUAGAUUUGGCAGGAUUUAGAAUAAAAAAUAGAACUGUUUUGUUAUUUGGGAACAGAUCAUACCAUAUGUAAUGAUGCCGUCAAGUUGAUUUGUGUUUAACAUUUUAAUAUAAUUUUAGUUAAAAUAAAACAAGACUGAAAUCUAAAUUCACAAUUUAGAAAACCUUAAACUUCAAUGUUAUUUUUUAAUAGUUAUUUCAUAAAACAAAAAUAAGAAUGAAAAUAUCAUUUUUAUAUUUAUUUUUAAAAUUCAAGAACACGUUUGAUAUCAUUUUCAAAUAAUAGACUUGAAAGUGAAAAACAUGAAACUCAUUUGAUAGAAAUAUUUUGAAGAAUUACUGUUGGAAUAAACUAAAUAUUUUAGUAAUUUAUAGUUGAUAAAUUUUAGUAUUUAUUCAAUUAUUUUAUUUUUAAAAGAAUUUAUGUGAUCUUGUUAAUUUAUUUAUUUAACUGAUCGGUUUUGAAAAAACUAUUAAACCACACAUAUAUGUAAAUUUAAACUGCUGUACGGCCAAGGCGGAUGUACGGUACAGCAGUGAAAUAAUUAAAUAAUUAAGCACCCAAUCGGGGGCUCUAAGAAGACCAAGACCACCGGCAUUAGCAACAGCAGCUACAAGCUCCGGGCCUGAAAUAUCAGGUCCCAAUGGUGCCUGAACAAUCCCAUACUCGAAACCCAGCAUUCCUCUCCAACCCAUUAGAGUAAACUUCAAAGUAUACAAAUGAACUGUGCUUUUUAUUUUUUGUUUUGUUCUCCUCUUAUAAGCAAUUGUUCAGAUUGAAAAAUAAAUAAUAAAUUAAUUGAAGUCGUAAUGAUAACUCAAUUCAAUCUUCUCAACUAGGUUUUUUCUAUUUCUUUACGUCAGCAAGGACGUCCAAGAGUUUCCUAUCGUACAGAUUGCUUAUGU